GGGUGGUUUAUUGGAUGGCCGCGCUACACGCGGCGGGGGAGGGUCGGCAGUUCGAGCCUGUCAUCGCCCGCCA
rnacentral:tRNA from 1 species